ensembl:lncRNA
GUUUUUGGUUGACCCUGCUGGACAGAAAGAGAAGGAGGAAUCGGAACACGCUGUAUUCAGAGUUCAACAAAGCCAACAACUGCUUCAUGUGGGCCACUGAUAAAGAACCUGGAUGUGGCCCAAAGACUGACUGGAUUGAAUGUUUUGCCUGCCAACGGUGGUUCCAUGUGCUGUGCCUAGGAAUGAAGACAAAAGAGUUCAAAAGAGUAAACACAAACUAGAAGUGCAGUCUUUGUUGUUGAAAUUGUAUGCUAUACCCCAUCCACACUGAAGAGGAUCUGAAAUGUACAUCAACCAGGGAUAAAGAGAAAGUUAACACUGAAAUGUUUCAUUCUUAUUUGAAGUUAAGUGUCUGACAUGUUGGAAAAGAUUAAAGGUUUACAAUUUCA